CUCAAUUUUUUUUUAUUUUUUUUUUUUGAUUAAUUGUAGGGUAUUAACGCUUUAAAUUUAGAACCCGCUUUACCCAAAUUAGAUGAACAAACAAGAACAGAAUGGGUUAUGUUUAAAAAUAAGAAUAAAAAUAAAACAAACAAAAAAGAUAAGUCAACAGAUAAGCAAGAAUUUAUCACAGCUGCUAAAGCUUUCAAUGAAAAACUGGCAACUAAAAUUAGCUCUAAUAUAAAAGAUACUAAUACCAGAUCAAAUAAUUAUUCGGGGAUGAUAAACCGAUCAAAUAAAGACAACCAAAAGAAAAAAGGAAAAUAUAACAACACACAUGAAACAGAUAUAAAUAAGAGCAACAAUAAUGGUAACAUGAUAAAUCAUAACGUAAAUGUGAGCGUAAAUAUGAAUACUAAUAUGAACGCUAAUAUGAAUAUAAAUAGAGAUGCUAAUAUAGAUACAAAUUAUAACGCAAAUUACAUGUUAAAUAAUUCUAACAUGCGACCAUAUUAUUCUUAUUAUGUAAAUUUUAACAAUAUAAAAAAUAAUAUUCCUGGUCAUAACAUGGAUUAUUGCCAAAAUAUAAACAUGAUAUCAGACCCACAAAAUCAAAUGUACCCAUGUGCUGAUUCACGUUUGCACAAAAAUACAGGAAUUCCACCAUUAUAUCAAAAUAUUAAUGUAGACAUGAUUAUCAAUAAAAUGCAAAAUUCAAUGAACCCGUCUGUUAAAAACCAUAAUUAUACAAAAUCUCAAAAUGAGCUAAGUCCUUUUGCAGUUGUAAGUUCAAAUUACCCAUCUGUGCAAAACCGUAUGUAAAAUUAUAUGAACACAUAUUUUUCCCAUUUUUUUUUUUUUUAUAUAUAUAAAAAUUUUGUUCAGAGCACUCCCAAACCAAAAAAAUCUUUUGAAACAUUAAUGAA
rnacentral:lncRNA from 1 species